UCUUCACAGAGUUGAGUGCUCCAAACAGAAUCAAACUCCAAUGAAUAACAAGUAAUUUUGGAAUGUUUUACAUCAUGAUGGAACUGCUGUUUAGAUGCAGGAAAACAAGCUCCAGGCUCCCACUGAUUCUACAUGAUGGUGAGUUGCAUAAUUAUUUCAUUAUUUAUUACAACACCUAUAGAAAUAAAGUACACAAUAAAUGUAA